rnacentral:rRNA from 1 species
AGAGCGAACGCUGGCGGCAGGCCUAACACAUGCAAGUCGAGCGCCCCGCAAGGGGAGCGGCAGACGGGAGAGUAACACGUGGGAACGUGCCCUUUGGUUCGGAACAACACAGGGAAACUUGUGCUAAUACCGGAUAAGUCCGUAAGGAGAAAGAUUUAUCGCCAAAGGAUCGGCCCGCGUCUGAUUAGCUAGUUGGUGAGGUAACGGCUCACCAAGGCGACGAUCAGUAGCUGGUCUGAGAGGAUGAUCAGCCUCACUGGGACUGAGACACGGCCCAGACUCCUACGGGAGGCAGCAGUGGGGAAUAUUGGACAAUGGGCGCAAGCCUGAUCCAGCCAUGCCGCGUGGAUGAUGAAGGCCCUAGGGUUGUAAAGUCCUUUCGACGGGGAAGAUAAUGACGGUACCGUAGAAGAAGCCCCGGCUAACUUCGUGCCAGCAGCCGC